rnacentral:rRNA from 1 species
GUACCGCGGCUGCUGGCACGGAGUUAGCCGGUGCUUAUUCAUAUGCUACCGUCAUUUUCUUGACAUAUAAAAGGAGUUUACACACCGAAAUGCGUCAUCCUCCACGCGGCGUUGCUGCAUCAGGGUUUCCCCCAUUGUGCAAUAUUCCUCACUGCUGCCUCCCGUAGGAGUCUGGUCCGUGUCUCAGUACCAGUGUGGCGGAUCAUCCUCUCAAACCCGCUACCUGUCAUUGCCUUGGUGAGCCAUUACCUCACCAACUAACUGAUAGGAUAUAGACCGAUCUCUUAGCGAAAAAACUUUCCCGACUAACAUUAGAGUUAGAAGGAGUAUCUAGUAUUAAUCAUCGUUUCCAAUGGCUAUCCCAGACUAAAAGGUACGUUAUCUAUAUAUUACUCACCCGUGCGCCACUAAUCCACCUAGCAAGCUAGGCUUCAUCGUUCGACUUGCAUGUGUUAAGCACGCCGCCAGCGUUCAUUCUGAGCCAGGAUCAAACUC